rnacentral:rRNA from 1 species
UACAGGGGGUGCAAACGUUGCUCGGAAUCAUUGGGCGUAAAGCGCACGUAGGCGGUUCGUUAUGUCGGAUGUGAAAGCCCUUGGCUUAACCGAGGAAGUGCAUCCGAAACUGGCGAGCUAGAGUACGAAAGAGGAUCGCGGAAUUCCCGGUGUAGAGGUGAAAUUCGUAGAUAUCGGGAGGAACACCGGUGGCGAAGGCGGCGAUCUGGGUCGAUACCGACGCUGAGGUGCGAAAGCGUGGGGAGCAAACAGG